rfam:Pasteurellaceae bacterium NI1060 genome.
GUCGAGAGGGCGACUAAUACAAUACCCGCAAGGGAAAUACGUCCAGCCUAACCACUUGAAGGCUUUCGAACCUCUCGGCACCAUUUG